rnacentral:rRNA from 1 species
GUUCCCGGGCCUUGUACACACCGCCCGUCACGUCACGAAAGUCGGUAACACCCGAAGCCGGUGGCCCAACCCCUUGUGGGAGGGAGCUGUCGAAGGUGGGACUGGCGAUUGGGACGAAGUCGUAACAAGGUAGCCGUACCGGAAGGUGCGGCUGGAUCACCUCCUUUCUAAGGAG